rnacentral:lncRNA from 1 species
UGACGCGUAGAUAUUUUCAUUUAUUUGCUUAUUUUUAACUCAGCAAAGAACUUCAAAGGAGCAUCAUUCCCAGAGGAUUUGUUCAUCGAUGUGUCACAGUCUAGCUACUGAGCCCGUGCACAGGAAGGAAACGGUCAGGUUCAGAGACCAAAACAUCUGUCCCUGUGCAUCUUGUAGAGUUGGGGAACUGGGACUCCUGUGACCCAUGUAGAUACAGUGCUUCCCUCUGACUCGAAGGGUUUGGCCCCCGACCCCGGAACGGCCUGAAGCUUGGACUGUCGGCCCUGCCCUUCUUCUGGGCUGGGAGAAAGGGCAGGCAAGAGGCCUUGGGGGUUGGGGCGGGAGACCGAAGGUGGAGAUGUGCCGCUGUGUACAGCCGACUUGCCUGCCCAUCACCCAAACACCAAGUUCCGCUCGCAGAGGAAGUGAGAGGUGUCCGAUUCGGUCUCCCAGAACGCAGCUGGGCUGCCUGAAACGAGCGCCGCGGCGACUCUGAAGGAGGUGUCAUCCCUGGGCCAGUACAGGAUUGAGUCACAGCAGCCGCCACUCCUGCGUCAAAAAUACUGGGCCAUUGUCCCAGGGAGUUUGGCCCCUCAGUCAAGUCAUUUCCGACCCGCAACCUGGAAUCCCAAUGAAGGAAAAAGGGGAGGAAAAGAAGCGGAAACCAGGAUGGCUAAGCAAGCCGAGGAAGACGAGCCCCGGCCAGCUGGAGUAGCACCUGAGUGUGCGACCCCACCCCCCACUGGGGCAUCUUCUCCUUGGUUACAUUCCAGACCCGGAAGCGAAUCCCGGCUGUAUGGUGUCCAAAGACCUACAAUCUGGGGGCAUUCCUUAAUAAAAAGAAUCCAAGAUUCUGAAAACAAACUUAAGUACAAAAGACUGGAGGCUGGAGAUCCAAGACCAGGGUGCCAGCAUGGUCGGGUUCUGGUGAGAGCCCUCUUCCGGUUGCAGACUGUAGACUUCUCAUUGCAUCCUCUCAUGUGGUAGAAGUAAAUAGGACCUCACAAUGCACCUCUUACCCAGAGAGGCACGAUGAUUGUCUAAGAACACAGGCAAGCUGGCCGAGGCUGUCGGAUGGCGACCUGUGCUCUGAGGCUUUCCUGGGCUUCACUACAGGGGGGAAGAGCGACAUCCAGCGACCCUGAGCUCAGGGACCAAGGUGAGUCAUCAGAGUUAGAGAGGGGCUUGAGAUCCAUCCCCUGACGAAGACUCUCCUAGUGCCGAGAGGGGCAGUGUUGUGCAGGGUCACCUGUCAGGGGCUGGGGACAGAGCAGGCUCAGCACCCAGAUCUUCUGUACCCAGACUGGAGUCCCUCCACUACUUCACCAGGCCUCUUGAAGGUGGUUUGUCCUUCUUGAAGGUUAUUUCCACCAAUGGAGUUGACUUCAGCUUGUUACUACUUGGCACAUCCCUCUUUUAUUUAAAAAUACCAAAGUUCCUGAAUGGGUCAGAAAAAUCAAUGGAUCCAUUUCAACUUCAAACAAAACAAUUCAGGUAAAACCACAAAAGUUUAGAAAAACUUGUCCUGGGAGAACUACUUUCCCCUACACAACCAAAUAGAAAUGCUGCCAAGAGCCAGAGUUGAGAUGGAAAAAAGAGAAACCGAGGAAGAUCUCAUCAAAUGGCCUUUAUUUUGAGAGGGAAUGGAGUAAGGAAUUUAAACAGAGUGGGGAAGGUGAGGAAAGCUUACCAGAGGGAGUGCAAAAGGCAACUUACUCGGGACAAGUAAAAGGGCCCACGGAAGCUGGGAAACCCUCUUCUGCCUACACGUGGUGGGCACUUGGCUCGCAGUGAGGAGGGAAACAGUGAUGCUGCGCAAGCCUCCUGUUCACUGAGGUGCCUUUGGGAAGUCCAGCUCAUUCCCAGAGGCUGGGAUUCGUGAAUGAACUAGACUCCGCAUGAUACGCUCACGUGCUCCGUGUGAUACUUCCUUGGGACCUCCGUUCACGCCGUCUUUCACCUGAAAUCCUCCUCCCUGAGGUCUCAGUCUGAUGACAUCCUAACCAUCCUUUCACUCACUCAUCAACAUGUAAUGACCACUCAAAAUGUGUCUGGAGCUGGAGAUCCAACUAUGGAUGAGACAAACAGAGACAAACAGAGCUCCCUGAUCUCAAGUUUGGGAGAGGAUGGAGAACAGGGCAUCAGGGGGAGGAAGGGAGUCAGACAUCGGUUAGUAGUUAAUUGCACAGGGAGUUAUUGCAAGACAAUCAAGGUAAAUGCUCUGAAGCAGAAGUGCAGGGUGCUCUGAGCAUGUGACGGGAUCCAGUCUCAUCUGGAGCAGGCAGGAAGGGCUUUCCUGAGGAAGUGACAUUUGGGUGGAGCUCUGGAGGCUGAGUGUGAAUUAAUUAGGAGGAGGUAGAGGGAAUGGUAGGAAGAGGGGUCAGAACAUGUGCAGACCCUGAGGGGGAUGGCUCCUUUGAGGACAUGAAAGGUAGAUGUGGAGAGUAGGGCUCAAUGUGGCCCAGUGAACUGGUGGAGGCAUACACUGAAAACUGAGAGUCGUUCCUUGAGGCUGUUUACUUCAGAGAGAGAGAAAGGAAGGAGAGAAUUAAGGUGACAAAAAUGAAAGGGUUAAUAUGUCACCCACCUGCUAAAGGUCAGAGUCAGAUGAGGUAUAAUGGAGCAGGUGUGUGAAGUGUAAUAGGGGGUGGUGAGGACUGUGGAAAACUAAAGGAUAUAUAUUUAUAUUUAUAUUUAUAUUUAUAUUUAUAUUUAUAUUUAUAUGUAUAUACAAGCAUUGCACCCAAAGACAUUUAAAAUAUUUUAAAACCUGUUACUGGCCAAAAAAAGCAAAAUCUGAGGGUCAACACAGUUUUGGGUCCUUGAUGAUAGGGGAAGAAGUUGCUGGAAACAAAGAAUAUGCAGGAGGGAGCUAGGAACUGCUUGGCCAUAGAGCCAGAAAAAGAGCCAGGAGAGCCCUUCUGGUUCUGUUGCCCCUCCCCACACCCCGUGGCUGUCAGAUUGUCUCCUCACCACCCAUGCCCCUUGUGGCCCCUCCAGCUUGCCUAUUGGGGCUCGCCUGUCCCCAGAGGCAUUCCACUCUCCCUAAAAGCAGAGUCAAGGGCAGGAUAGUAACUGCUGACUUAUAUGAAUGGUGGGGUGGAAAGAUGGCCCUGAGCAGCCAUCCUUAGCUCAGGAGUUAACUCACUGGUUGCAAGCACUGCUGGGUUCCCCUGGCAAGCUCCCAUGACAUGCAGAUCUGAGGGUGGGGUGCAGUUGGGAGAAUAAACGAGAGGAAGAUGUGGAAAGGGGUUGAAACAGAUUCAUAGGCCGAGAAAAAAAGAUUAGAGCAUUGACACAUCAGUUCCUUCAGUGUUAAUUUCCUAGCACAAUUUUGGGUCAUUUGGAUUCCAUUGCUGGCUCUGUCAAAGCUUGACGGUGGGAGUACUGAUUUGGGAACCUCCUCCACAUUCUCUUUGUGACAGUAAAGGCAUGGUUGAGCUUAUCUUAAAAGCGAUCACUUUUGAUCAAAAAACAAUGUUUGCUUUUUUUCUCUUUGCUCUGAUGUAAAGGUCCUUACAUGUAUUGGGGGAUUUCCUGCACCUGAUCUGCUCUCAGUUGUGCACGGGAAGAUGCUCAGCUUUCAUGUGUUUGCUUUCCCUGCAACUCUGAUUAAGAACUAAAUUCAUUUCGCUAGAUCUUUGCAGAGCAAACCUCUUUACUUGACCGGAGAAGAGUUUUCUUCUGUCUCAUAAAGGAAGAAACAUUUUUAAAGGCUGUUUCAAUAUGUAAAUGCUUCUCUCGCUAUACACACACAUCUAAUUGCUUGUUUCUAUCCCCUUCUAAAGCAGAAGGCAGAGAUAUUCCUUGAAGGGAGCUCAGCUGCCUGAGCCAGCAUUUUGAAAAGACAGGCUCAUGAACAGCAAGUCCCCAAAUGUAGUGAAAAUUUGUGGCUUCUUGAUGGCCCAGUGUCUAUUUAACUUAAUGCCAGAAUAGCACUGGGUUUAUGUUCAGAUAGCCACUCUUUUCCUCUCAGUCCAUGGGAUUCCAGUGGGGUUGACUUUGCCUUGAGUCCAGAGAAGGCAUUAUAUCCAGGCUGGUUCAGGGAUGGCCACCUGACCAAAGAUUGGUCAAUCAGGGUCAAGGAUGCUCAAUUUGGGACUUUGGGUUCAGCUAUUAAGGAGGAGAAUUCUUUCCCUCUCCUGCUGUACGAAAGCCUGAGGGGACAUGAGGCUUGGGCUGCUGUGGCCAACUUGUCCGAACAAGGAGGGGGACCUAGAAGAAUGAAGCCAAUACAUCAGAAGACAGAGCCAAGAUAGAGAUAAAAAUUGAGUCCCAGUGAAAUCAUUCGAGCAAUUGGAUCUAGCCGUGCAUAAAGCCAGCCCUGCCCCAUGGACUUCUACAUGAGACAAUAAAUUUCCGCUUUUUCCCUGAGUCAGUCUGAAUUAGGUGUUCUCAGUCCUCUAAGUAUCAUCUGUCCAUAUGUAAAGCAAUGUGGCUGAUUCCAGCAGGCGAUUCCAAUAGAAUCUGUCCCAUUACUAUUUUAUAGUGACAUCUUAUUAUAUCUGUACAAUAUUUUCAACUUCUUAAAGCACCUUGACCAAGGGGUUAUUGGACUUCAUCCAGACCAUGCUUACAGGAGUUGUCUCUCGUCACCUCCACGUGAUGAGUGACCCUCCCAAGGUGACGUGGGAAUAAACAGAAGAGCCCCAUUUCCCAGCACGCCCGCAGACCCCUCCCUUCCCACAUCCUCUUUUCUUGAAGGAAAAAGUUAAACAUUUUAAUGACUGCCCAAGGAUGUUCUGUCUGGAGAAGGACAGUUGAAACAGAGAGGUUCUUAUUCGCUGCAGCCUCAUUUGUAAUAGACAAAAAUUAGGAAAGAUCCCGAGUGUCCAGCCGUUGGAGGCUCUAUACAGGGCAGUAGUAGGAAGCCUUUAACAAGGCAGAAAUAAAUGUCCAGUUGCCAAGGAAUAUUGUCAAGUGAAAAGGCAAACAUUGUGUGUAAUAUGCUAUUGUUCAAAGUUUUAAAAAAGAGCAAGGCUGUACAUACACAAAAUCUUGUGUAUGCAUAGACUGUCUCUGGCAGAAACUGGUCACUGUGUUACCUCUGGAGACAGGGCUGGGGAGGCUGGAAAAAGGGAUGAGAGCGAGAGAGACUUUUUUUUUCACCAUGUACCCUUUUUUUACCUUUUGAAUUUUGUACAAUUUACAUAUUUUGCCUAUUUCAUGCUUUUUAGUUAGAUUGACUAAUAAAAAAAAGAAAUGCAACAAUUAACAACUACAAAAACAUACCCAUUUCAAUGUGAAGCUGCCUUAGGGCUCUGAGGAGUCUCCGGGCUUUUAAUCAGAGCUGAUCUAUAACUCAGCUCCUGCUAGAAGCUGAGGCUGGGGCUUGUUCUAACUGGAUGCCAAUUUGGGUGGGGAAGGGGCAGACUGAGAGUCAAAUCUGAAGGCUCCUAGAAGGAAAAAGCCACAAUGGCUAUCGGAGCAAUUAGGCAAAAUUUUAACGAAAUCUCAGAGGGUGCCGAAAGAUAUGAUUAAGGAGUGGGACUGCAGGGCUUGCAGCCGGGAAGGAAAAGAGAGAGCUGGUUAUUUUCUGGGGGAAAAGGUAGAUCUUCAGUACUCUGUGCAUUCAUUCAACGUCUUACGAUUCUCACAGUGUGUCUCCCACCCAGUCAUCCCUCUGGGCUAUGUCUGCAGAGGCCAGGGCUGUGACUGCCUCAUUCUCUAAUGCUUCUGAGGGACCUUAUUUUGGACAACAGGUAUGUGGCUUGAAAUCCUAUCUGACAAAAACCAUUUAAACACGUACUGAGUUCAAGGGGAGAGAACAGAGGAAUGAAGGAUGCAAGAACCUAGGAAUCUCGCGGGCCCCACACCAUCCACUGGCCCCCAAGAAGGUGGCACCAGGAACACGGGGUCCACAGCAGGGAACAGCAGCAGGAGCUUGGGAAACCCUUUGAGAAGGGCAGGUAUUCAGCCUACAAGAAGCUGGAGAGCCGUACGACUCCACCUGAACAAGCACCUUUGGUUCAAGAACCGUGGGCCUAAUGCUCUCCACAGCAGGAACAGCAACAACCACAGCGAUACCUGGGGGACCCAGGCCUCCUCUCACCCAAGACCCUUUCAGGGACCUUCUCCCACCCCCACGACAUCUAGGCACCAAUGAGGGGCGGACUCUGCAGACAGGAGAAGCUCUAGCACUAGGAUGUUACUGAAUUUGUAGGAGAGUCUGAUCCUGAAAUGUCCUGCAGAUUCCGUGGGGAACCCAGACAGGACCGAGGCCGCAGUCUGCAAGCUUCACUGAUGGCACUCUCUGAAGCUGUGGCUUGACUAUCUUCACUCUGUUUACUAUUCCAUAGCGUGAUCGGCACACUAUUUUUUUAAUCCAGUCCACUGUUCACGGUCAUUUGGCUGUUUUCACUUUGCAACCAUGCCAAAUUAUGCUGUGAAUGAUCCCAUCCUCGUCAUUGGGUUUGUGCCCGCAUUGUCGUUGAUUCCUAGCACUAGGACUCGGAGUGGAACUGCUGCUCACAAGUCUGGCUUUCUAUGUUCAGCUUAGUGGAAGCUGCCAAAGUGUGUUCCAAAGGUGUUAACUGGUUUACUCUCCCAACAGUGUGUUUGAGAGCUCCUGCAUCCUCACCAACCUUGGAAUUAUGAGACUUAGUUUUUGUGCCUCUGGAGGCUCUGUGCCUUUCGUUGUGGCUUUAAUAUUUAUUCCCUGGUGAUAGUGAGGUUGAGCACUCCUCAUGUGUUCACUAGACAUGAGGCUUUCUCACGUAAAGUAUCUGUGCAUGCUUUUUGCCCAUCUUUAUUUGAAUUGACUUUUAUAACUCUCUUAACAAUUCAUGUGCUGCAAACAUUUUUUCCCCAUUCUGUGGCUUGUUUUUUUAUCCUUUGUAUGCCUUUCAUAAUAGAAUUUCUUGGUUUUAACGUUGUCUAUUUCAUUGCUUCUCAAACUAUCUGCGGGUGAUGGACCAGUUUGGUUUGUUUUACAUUUCUAUCAGUGGCAAACUGAUAUCCUCUACCAUAAAAUAAGGUUAUUAAUAUAAAUUAAAAUUAAAGAAACAAAAAAGUACUAAGACAGUUGUCAAGGAAAUCUUGCUGAAAUCUUCUGUGACUUUGACUUUUAUGUAAUACUCCAUUACAUUUCCUUCAAGUGAAGCACCUGUAUUGAGCCAGACACAUUUAGACACUCAACAGAUGCCUUAGAUUCUAAAAUGGAGAGGAUAAAGAUAUCACACUGGCCUGGAAUGCUGAAAAUGGAGCAUGACAGAAAAGAAAAUCAAGCUACCAGACGUGAAAAAGAGGACCGCUUAGAAAACGAGUAUAAUGACAGAAUGUCCUCAAGCAGAAAAGUCUGAAAACAACCCGAUUGAGAAUGGAGUUCAUUCUUCCCUAGCAUAUUUCUAGCCAUAUGACUGGUCUACCAGAGUCAAAAACGCGGAACACAGUGAUCUUACUCAUUUACAUGCCAUCACCAAGAGCGCUCUCUGGGUUUAUCAGUUUGAGGAAGAACUCUGCUAGCGUCAGAGUUUGGAAAUGAAAGAAAAUUAAUUUUAGAUAUGGUGAGAUCAUCUAAUCCACUUGCUCAUGGGAUUCUUCAUUAAAGUUUUGGUUUUACAUCAUCCAAUGUCAAUUAAUUUGCCCAGAUGAUAUCUGGAGUGUCUUCUAAACUUUCAAGCUUUGUGGGAGUAAACAAGGUGGCCCGUUUCAAAUAGGUCUCCUUUAAAGGUCAUAGAACACAUAGGACACAUUAUGGUGAGCUCAUUUCUAAAUGGGUCACUCUUUUGGGCCAACUUUUCCAUAAUCAGAGAUAGAGACAGAAAUAGAAAAAGAGAGUGCAUUAUGCCAGUUAUGUCUUCAUGUGUAAGAAGUAUAUGCUCCUUUUUCUUGAUCUCCUUUCCACCAAACUCUGAUCUGGCAGAUAAAUAGCAUAAAAUUAUAAUUGAAAGUGGUGAGUCUUUCCUGACUCACUUCAGUUUUCCACGCUGUCUA